AAGCGCCGGCUAACUACGUGCCAGCAGCCGCGGUAAUACGUAGGGCGCGAGCGUUGUCCGGAAUUAUUGGGCGUAAAGGGCUUGUAGGCGGUUGGUCGCGUCUGCCGUGAAAUCCUCUGGCUUAACUGGGGGCGUGCGGUGGGUACGGGCUGACUUGAGUGCGGUAGGGGAGACUGGAACUCCUGGUGUAGCGGUGGAAUGCGCAGAUAUCAGGAAGAACACCGAUGGCGAAGGCAGGUUACUGGGCCGUUACUGACGCUGAGGAGCGAAAGCGUGGGGAGCGAACAGGAUUAGAUACCCUGGUAGUCCACGCUGUAAACGUUGGGCACUAGGUGUGAGGCUCCUUUCCGGGGGUUUUGCGCCGUAGCUAACGCAUUAAGUGCCCCGCCUGGGGAGUACGGCCGCAAGGCUAAAACUCAAAGGAAUUGACGGGGGCCCGCACAAGCGGCGGAGCAUGCGGAUUAAUUCGAUGCAACGCGAAGAACCUUACCAAGGCUUGACAUAUACUGGACCGCAUCAGAGAUGGUGUUUCCCUUCGGGGCUGGUAUACAGGUGGUGCAUGGUUGUCGUCAGCUCGUGUCGUGAGAUGUUGGGUUAAGUCCCGCAACGAGCGCAACCCUUGUCCCGUGUUGCCAGCACGUUGUGGUGGGGACUCGCGGGAGACUGCCGGGGUCAACUCGGAGGAAGGUGGGGAUGACGUCAAAUCAUCAUGCCCCUUAUGUCUUGGGCUUCACGCAUGCUACAAUGGCCGGUACAGAGGGUUGCGAUACUGUGAGGUGGAGCUAAUCCCU
rnacentral:rRNA from 1 species